GAUGAACGCUGGCGGAAUGCCUUACACAUGCAAGUCGAACGGCAGCACGGACUUCGGUCUGGUGGCGAGUGGCGAACGGGUGAGUAAUGUAUCGGAACGUGCCCAGUCGUGGGGGAUAACGUAGUGAAAAUUACGCUAAUACCGCAUACGAUCUAUGGAUGAAAGCGGGGGAUCGCAAGACCUCGCGCGAUUGGAGCGGCCGAUAUCAGAUUAGGUAGUUGGUGGGGUAAAGGCCCACCAAGCCAACGAUCUGUAGCUGGUCUGAGAGGACGACCAGCCACACUGGAACUGAGACACGGUCCAGACUCCUACGGGAGGCAGCAGUGGGGAAUUUUGGACAAUGGGCGAAAGCCUGAUCCAGCCAUUCCGCGUGCAGGAUGAAGGCCCUCGGGUUGUAAACUGCUUAUGUACAGAACGAAAAGGUUUCUACUAAUACUAGGAGCUCAUGACGGUACUGUAAGAAUAAGCACCGGCUAACUACGUGCCAGCAGCCGCAGUAA
rnacentral:rRNA from 1 species